CCUACGGGUAGGCAGCAGUGGGGAAUUGUUCGCAAUGGGCGCAAGCCUGACGACGCAACGCCGCGUGGAGGAUGAAGAUCUUCGGGUCGUAAACUCCUUUCGAUCGAGACGAACGGCCUCCGGGUGAACAAUCCGGGGGAGUGACGGUACUCGAGAGAAGAAGCCCCGGCUAACUCCGUGCCAGCAGCCGCGGUAAU
rnacentral:rRNA from 1 species